rnacentral:lncRNA from 1 species
UUUUUGCAGUAAGAGAGAGGUUAAUAAGAAAGUUCUCAAAGUUCCUGGAAUAGAGCAGAAGGUAAGACUACUCUAGAAAGUUAACGGUCCAUUUAAGUACUUAAAAGGUGAUUGUUGCAUAAUUGUAAGUAUUGAUGAUUGGUAGGCAAGGGGAUUUAAUAAACUAUCUAGAUACUAUUUUGAUCGAUAUCAUAUUUAAAAUAUGGCUCAUGGAUGAUGAUUGGUGUAUGGUUGUUCUGUGCUUUGAUAUACUAUAUUUAGCUAUAGCAUAAAUAUUUUCCCCAAAAAAAAAAGGUUGAUCCGAGCACUUUUCUCAUUACAGGUAACAUUUUUCCAACACUUCCACAUCGCAGUCGUCCCAGAUUUGAGCAUUACAGGUUAGUAUUGAUGUAGCAGGUUCUGUUGUUUCCCAAAUGAAUAUGGUUUUGUUUGUAUGUUUGUAAUGCUCAUUAAAGCUUUUGUUUGUAUGGUUAUGGUUAUUGUUGCAUGACCAUUGUUCUUUUUGAAUUUAUCAGCC